AACUGAUACUACCUGCGGGAACCUGCGGAGGGAUCAUUAACGAGUUUUGAAAGGGGUUGUAGCUGGCCUUUCACGAGGCAUGUGCACACCCUGCUCUUCCACUCUCAACUUCUGUGCACUAUUGUAGGCUUGGUGAAAGGCGUUGACUCGCAAGGGUCAGCUGCCGGAAGCCUCGUCUAUGUUUCACUACAAACGCUUCAGUUAUAGAAUGUAACACUUGCGGAUGACGCAUUUAUAUAC
rnacentral:misc_RNA from 1 species